rnacentral:rRNA from 1 species
CGUAGGCGCAAGCGUUAUCCGGAAUUAUUGGGCGUAAAGAGCUCGUAGGCGGUUUGUCGCGUCUGCCGUGAAAGUCCGAGGCUCAACCUCGGAUCUGCGGUGGGUACGGGCAGACUAGAGUGAUGUAGGGAGACUGGAAUUCCUGGUGUAGCGGUGAAAUGCGCAGAUAUCAGGAGGAACACCGAUGGCGAAGGCAGGUCUCUGGGCAUUUACUGACGCUGAGGAGCGAAAGCAUGGGAGCGAACAGGAUU